CCCUUAGAUGUCCUGGGCUGCACGCGCGCUACACUGGAAGUUACGGAUUGAGAUACUACCUUGUCCGAAAUGGUCCGGGUAAUCACCUAAAAGCUUGUCAUAAUUGGAAUGGAUUAUUGUAACUAGUAAUCCUGAACGAGGAAUUCCUAGUAAGUCCCAGUCAACAGCUGGUACUGAUUACGUCCCUGCCCUUUGUACACACCGCCCGUCGCUACUACUGAUUGGACGUUUAAGCAAGAUUUUUAAACACUGACAGUGUGUAGUUCACGCUAUACUACAGUGAGAAGAAGACGAUCGAGCUUACUUGUCUAGAGGAAGUAAAAGUCGUAACA
rnacentral:rRNA from 1 species